rnacentral:rRNA from 1 species
UACAGAGGGGGCAAGCGUUGUUCGGAAUUACUGGGCGUAAAGGGCGCGUAGGCGGCCUGUUAAGUCGGACGUGAAAUCCCUCGGCUCAACCGGGGAACUGCGUCCGAUACUGGCGGGCUUGAGUUUGGGAGAGGGAUGCGGAAUUCCAGGUGUAGCGGUGAAAUGCGUAGAUAUCUGGAGGAACACCGGUGGCGAAGGCGGCAUCCUGGACCAACACUGACGCUGAGUGAGCGAAAGCCAGGGGAGCAAACGGG